rnacentral:rRNA from 1 species
UGGCGGACGGGUGAGUAAUGUCUGGGAAACUGCCUGAUGGAGGGGGAUAACUACUGGAAACGGUAGCUAAUACCGCAUAACGUCGCAAGACCAAAGAGGGGGACCUUCGGGCCUCUUGCCAUCGGAUGUGCCCAGAUGGGAUUAGCUAGUGGUGGGGUAACGGCUCACCUAGGCGACGAUCCCUAGCUGGUCUGAGAGGAUGACCAGCCACACUGGAACUGAGACACGGUCCAGACUCCUACGGGAGGCAGCAUG